rnacentral:lncRNA from 1 species
UUUUCUGUAAUUAUAAUAUUUUUAUCAUGGGUAUGUUGGUCCAAAAAAAUUAUAAAUCAAAAUAGUUUUCCAAUGCAUGCUAAAAGUGCUUUUCCGAAAAAGCUUCAUUUUGGAGUUUCUCGCAAGAAGUUAUUUUAGCUUUCUGGCAAAGCAAAAACAGCUGCUAGAUUUUUUUUACCAAACACCUUUAUUCCAUCCAAAAG